ACCCGCACAAGCAGCGAGCAUGUGGUUUAAUUCGAAGCAACGCGAAGAACCUUACCAGAUCUUGACAUCCAAUUGACCAUCUUUUAAUCGUAGAUUUUUGCCUUCGGGUACAAUUGAGACAGGUGGUGCAUGGUUGUCGUCAGCUCGUGUCGUGAGAUGUUGGGUAAGUCCCGCAACGAGCGCAACCCUUGUGUUUAGUUGCAAACAGGUCAAGCUGUGCACUCUAGACAGACUGCCGUGGACAACACGGAGGAAGUGGGGAUGACGUCAAAUCAUCAUGCCCCUUAUGAUCUGGGCUACACACGUGCUACAAUGGCCGGUACAACGGGCAGCGAAGGAGCGAUCCGGAGCGAAUCCUAAAAAGCCGGUCCCAGUUCGGAUUGCAGGCUGAAACUCGCCUACAUGAAGUUGGAGUUGCUAGUAAUCGCGAAUCAGAAUGUCGCGGUGAAUGCGUUCCCGGGCCUU
rnacentral:rRNA from 1 species